AUGAUCUAUAGGCAAAUGAUGGAGUCACUUCACAAAGCUGUUGUGAAUCCUGCCCACUUCUUUGCAUCCACACAAGACACAACAACAACAAUGAACAACAUCAUCAUCAUCCUCAUCUGGACUCUCACACUGUUUGCUCAAGAGUGUAGAGGACAGUACACAGUAACUCAGACUCAAUCAAUAAUAGCAGCUCAACCAGGACAAGAAGUCAGAAUAAAUUGUAAAACCAGCAGUUCAGUGCAUAAUAAUGAUUUUUUAGCCUGGUACUUACAGAAACCUGGAGAAGCUCCUAAACUCCUCAUAUAUCGUGCAACAAGCCGUUACACUGGAACUCCUUCUAGAUUCAGUGGCAGUGGAUCUGGCAGUGAUUUCACUCUGAGCAUCAGUGGAGUCCAGACUGAAGAUACAGGAGAUUAUUACUGUCAGAGUCUACACAUUCCUAGUAGCUGGGUGUUCACACAGUGAUAAAGAGUCGUACAA